AUGCUGUUCUACGUCUGGAUCCUCUUGCCUUAUCCACUCGUGGCUGCUGCUGCUGGUGGUGGAGGUUGCCAUGUAGAGCAAAAUGGCACCAGGUUCAUUCUGAAGGACACGGCACAAAAGUGUGCCAUAUACCAUUGGCGUGAUGGUGAAACUGUGGUUGCCAACGAACAUCAGUCCAACACCUCGAUUGUGCGGACAUGGGGCAAUUACAGCAUCUUCUUUUUCUCUUGUCAAAACAAUGUCAGAUACAAGAGUAAAUGUUCUGGGAGCAUCAUCAACUGUUCCUACCCCUGCCCCGCCGAGAGUAAACUCACCACCACAUCACCAGCUAAAGAGCGGUCACCUUUAAAUCACGGUGCUGUUAUUGGAGGCAGUACUGCCGUUGCCAUUGUUCUCUGCGUUGCAGUCCUGAUAUUGGCCACGUCAGAGCGGCUUAGAACAUGUAUGCAGGCUAAGACAGCCGCCUGGUGCAGAUGUGGCUACAGCGCAGCACAGUAGACCGUCCAGAGCGGCCUUGGUGCUCCACCACUUCCAGCUAGCCUAUAUGGUGGCCUUCAUGUACUUAUCACAUACUGCAGCUGAUCAUUUAAGGCCAUUUACAGCAUUAAGCGCUGUUGGGACAGGGUUCGUUUCACAUGGGGAGGUAAUGCAACUUUACCACAGGACGUUUGGAAUGUUUUUGAAUGAUUACAGAGAUUUCCCACCUACAUGCUACACACAUGGCUUCUCUGUAGUAGAAAACAUGUCCAGACAUUAAGGCUCGAUCCUGUCUCUUCUUUUUUUACCUCUACUGCUUGUUUUCAAGUGUUAUCUUGUGCCUUAGUUUGGGCCACAGAAAGCACAAUGCUUCCAUGGUGCUAUACUUAAGAACAAAUGUGAAAACUCCUGGAUACGAUGGAGCAUUGAGACCAAAUUCACACAGGAACGCUACAGGUUGUUUCAUAAUAGUGGAUGGAACCACAAUCACUGAAGAAAUACACGCAAAAAUGACAUGAUCCCACCUCCCUGUGUCAAACCCAUCCUGUCCGAAUGGCGCAUUAGUCACCAUCAACUUUUUCAACUCUUCGUGCAUUCCUGUGUAGAUAUUUCUGAGUUUUUAAGCCAUAUAGCACCUUUUUUUAUCAGUCACUCUUUCACCUGUCCUUUUUAGUAGCCUGUUACUCUAAUAACUGCUGUUCUAUUCUUUCUUUCUGGUGUAGCUUCUAUAAACUAUAUUAUAUUUUACUCUCCCUGCAUUAUAUUUUACUGUAGCAAAGGGGGGAGGGUUCGCUUGGAAUUUAUGUUCAGCUUAUUAUAGAAUGACUGGCAUCACAAAGCUUUAAAGACAUUUUAUUACUAACAUAUUUAUUUAUAAAUAUUGUUUGUAAAAUAGCUAGAUGAAAUAUUAGCCUGUUACAAGCUUUAAAAAACAAAUAUAGAAUGUAUUUUAUGCGCUUAAUCAUGAACACCCGGAAAGUGUUAAUGUGCACCACCGUUAGCUUAACACUCACUUGCCAUGGGAAAUUCCAUAGAGGCCAGCUUAAAGUUGCAUUAUUGUUUUUUUUCCCCUCAUUUUUGGACUUGAGUUCUGAUAAAGCCUAGCUCUGAAAAUCAUGGUCCACCCCAGUGUUGUGCUGAGUUUCGGUUAUUUUCCCAGAAUUAACAGUCCAGUACGCAUACUAUAGACAGUGUUGACCGCAGCACUCUGUACUGUGUUUGCACUCACAUAGACAUUUGAGCCUUUUAGAGAUGUUCUUUGUAGGCUUAGUUCUCUUUGCCUCAUUUCCGUCUCUUAUUGACCGGGGUAUAUUUUGGUUUGUCCGUCUGAAUUUUCGUGACCAAAUCCUAAGGGCAGAUUUUUCAUGGGCUGCAUUAAAUGAAUGUAAGUUUUUAUUUUAUUUUAAUUUAUUUAUUUAUUUUGAAAAUAAAGCCCCC
ensembl:lncRNA